rnacentral:misc_RNA from 1 species
UUUCCGUAGGUGAACCUGCGGAAGGAUCAUUAUAGAGCUCCUGCCCUAACGGGUCGACCUCCAACCCUGUGUAUUUAUACCUUGUUGCUUCGGCAGUCCGUCUAGGCUUCGGCUUAGCCAUGUUCUUCGCCUCGUGAGUGCCUGUCAGAAGGCACUAAAACCCUUGCUAUAAUUUUCGUCUGAGUAAAAACUUAAUAAGUGAAACCUUUCAACAACGAAUCUCUUGGUUCUGGCAUCGCUGAUGAACGCUGCAGAUCGGAAUAGCACACCUCUUAACUC